GUAACAAGGUCUCCGUUGGUGAACCAGCGGAGGGAUCAUUACCGAGUUUACAACUCCCAAACCCCUGUGAACAUACCAAUUGUUGCCUCGGCGGAUCAGCCCGCUCCCGGUAAAACGGGACGGCCCGCCAGAGGACCCCUAAACUCUGUUUCUAUAUGUAACUUCUGAGUAAAACCAUAAAUAAAUCAAAACUUUCAACAACGGAUCUCUUGGUUCUGGCAUCGAUGAAGAACGCAGCAAAAUGCGAUAAGUAAUGUGAAUUGCAGAAUUCAGUGAAUCAUCGAAUCUUUGAACGCACAUUGCGCCCGCCAGUAUUCUGGCGGGCAUGCCUGUUCGAGCGUCAUUUCAACCCUCAAGCCCCCGGGUUUGGUGUUGGGGAUCGGCGAGCCCUUGCGGCAAGCCGGCCCCGAAAUCUAGUGGCGGUCUCGCUGCAGCUUCCAUUGCGUAGUAGUAAAACCCUCGCAACUGGUACGCGGCGCGGCCAAGCCGUUAAACCCCCAACUUCUGAAUGUUGACCUCGGAUCAGGUAGGAAUACCCGCUGAACCUAAGCAUAUCA
rnacentral:misc_RNA from 1 species